UAUAAAUGAUCAAGAUUGUGACUGGCAUAUACAGUGGAAAAGGAAGAAGGGCAAGCGUUUUACUAUACGAUCACAUAUGGGUCAUACACCCCUUUUACUACCUAUAUGCCCAUCCUACCACCUCUAAGACAUAAAGUUCCAUAGCCAGAGAUACGGGACUGGUGAAAUGAAGAUGGCUUAUGAUGAAACCUGCUGUCUUCUUAAAAUUGCAACCACUGCACCUUUUCUGGAAGCCAGAUCAAGUUUCAAACUUGCAGCACCAAUGAGGCAUUUGAAGAUGAUUCGCUUAGCCUCAGUGAAAGUCUAGAGAGCCUAGCAUCACAGUCCCAAUUCAGCACCCCAAUCUCUGACUUACAAUUACCUCUGGAUCUCAAGGAAGAUUUAUGUAUAUAUGUUUCCUUUUACCUAUUUCUGUGUCUUAUAGGUUGAAUGUUAUGUAUGCAGAUGGAUUUGAGGAUUACAGAGUAUUUUAAAAGUCUAAAAUGUAAUGAAAGGAUUCUUACAUUUUAACAUCAGAAUAUCAGAAUCUAUUGAAUACUCAUAAUGUUCCUAACACUGGAUAGAGCAUUGAAAUGGAGGGUGGAGAAGGAUGGUGUACAAUAGAGAUAACUGUAUAUGAGGGAUUAAAUUUGAAACCAAGAAACAAUUUGAGGAGUUUAAUAAACUAUAUUGAGGCCGGGUGCGGUGGCUCAUACCUGUAAUCCCAGCACUUUGGGAGGCUGAGGUGGGUGGAUCACCUGAGGUCAGGAGUUCAAGACCAGCCUGACCAACAUGGUGAAACCCUCUCUACAAAAAUACA